AUUCAACUGACGAGUCCCGAAUAGGAUGAAAUUUGAGUCCUAGAU
rnacentral:hammerhead_ribozyme from 1 species